CAUGGACUCUAUUCCUGAUCUCCCCCCGCAUGGAAACUGUUCGGCCUUCCCUUCCUCUCUCUAUCUCUUUCCCCCGUGGAAUCCAAUGCCAUGAUCAUUCUCAAACUGAUGUAAACAAGGGCGCGGAUCUGGCGUGGUGAAUUGACUAAUUGCAUCAAAUUUGUUUUCCUCAUCUAGAUCAAAUUCAGAUUGAAUCCCAAAAUCUACUCAUAUACAACAAUUGGAUAGCUCGAAUGCAAAUCUCGCUUUCCCUCAUGGAGAUCAAUGCCAUGGAAUCUGGCAAACUGAUGCAAAGAAGUUAAGGCAUGGAUCUGGCAUGGUCAAGGGGCUUAUUACCCCAAAUUUGUUUUCAUCAUCUACAUGAGCUGAAACAUGAGGCGUGUAUCUAUAGUGCACACAUAUAUAUGGCUGGUGGUGGCGUGAUUCUUAUGUAUAGUGCAUCGACGAUUGGAAAAACUGCAGAUUGGAUGCAAUAGAGGACGGGACUGUGUUAUCUGAGGUGAUGCUCCGGAGAAAGCAUCAUUGCCCGAUGAGCCGAUUGUGAUUACUGGCCGGACGAGGAUCCUUUAGCUUAUUAGAUCGAACCUGUACAUCGGAUGCAAAAGAAUACCAGCCUGCAUAGGCUGAGUUGAUGAGUCGAUGAGGGCAUCUUUGCCCGAUGAGCCCAUAGUGAGUACUGGCUAGCGGCAGCUCCAUGCGCUUCUCUGAUCAAACAUGUACGUGUUGGCUGCAUCCUGUGUCUACAGAUGCGGGCAAGGUAAUUUGAAUCAAACAGGUACCUACGCCAU